rnacentral:rRNA from 1 species
UACGUAGGUGGCAAGCGUUGUCCGGAUUUACUGGGCGUAAAGAGCGCGCAGGCGGUCGGAUAAGUCGAAUGUGAAAGCCCCCGGCUCAACUGGGGAGGGUCAUUCGAUACUGUUCGACUCGAAGGCAGGAGAGGGAAGUGGAAUUCCCGGUGUAGUGGUGAAAUGCGUAGAUAUCGGGAGGAACACCUGUGGCGAAGGCGGCCCCCUGGUUGGAUACUGACGCUGAUACGCGAAAGCGUGGGUAGCAAACAGG